rnacentral:rRNA from 1 species
CAUAGGUUAAUGAGGCGAACCGGGGGAACUGAAACAUCUAAGUACCCCGAGGAAAAGAAAUCAACCGAGAUUCCCCCAGUAGCGGCGAGCGAACGGGGAGCAGCCCAGAGCCUGAAUCAGUGUGUGUGUUAGUGGAAGCGUCUGGAAAGGCGCGCGAUACAGGGUGACAGCCCCGUACACAAAAAUGCACAUACUGUGAGCUCGAUGAGUAGGGCGGGACACGUGGUAUCCUGUCUGAAUAUGGGGGGACCAUCCUCCAAGGCUAAAUACUCCUGACUGACCGAUAGUGAACCAGUACCGUGAGGGAAAGGCGAAAAGAACCCCGGCGAGGGGAGUGAAAAAGAACCUGAAACCGUGUACGUACAAGCAGUGGGAGCACAGAGCAAUCUGUGUGACUGCGUACCUUUUGUAUAAUGGGUCAGCGACUUAUAUUCUGUAGCAAGGUUAACCGAAUAGGGGAGCCGAAGGGAAACCGAGUCUUAACUGGGCGUUAAGUUGCAGGGUAUAGACCCGAAACCCGGUGAUCUAGCCAUGGGCAGGUUGAAGGUUGGGUAACACUAACUGGAGGACCGAACCGACUAAUGUUGAAAAAUUAGCGGAUGACUUGUGGCUGGGGGUGAAAGGCCAAUCAAACCGGGAGAUAGCUGGUUCUCCCCGAAAGCUAUUUAGGUAGCGCCUCGUGAAUUCAUCUCCGGGGGUAGAGCACUGUUUCGGCAAGGGGGUCAUCCCGACUUACCAACCCGAUGCAAACUGCGAAUACCGGAGAAUGUUAUCACGGGAGACACACGGCGGGUGCUAACGUCCGUCGUGAAGAGGGAAACAACCCAGACCGCCAGCUAAGGUCCCAAAGUCAUGGUUAAGUGGGAAACGAUGUGGGAAGGCCCAGACAGCCAGGAUGUUGGCUUAGAAGCAGCCAUCAUUUAAAGAAAGCGUAAUAGCUCACUGGUCGAGUCGGCCUGCGCGGAAGAUGUAACGGGGCUAAACCAUGCACCGAAGCUGCGGCAGCGACGCUUAUGCGUUGUUGGGUAGGGGAGCGUUCUGUAAGCCUGCGAAGGUGUGCUGUGAGGCAUGCUGGAGGUAUCAGAAGUGCGAAUGCUGACAUAAGUAACGAUAAAGCGGGUGAAAAGCCCGCUCGCCGGAAGACCAAGGGUUCCUGUCCAACGUUAAUCGGGGCAGGGUGAGUCGACCCCUAAGGCGAGGCCGAAAGGCGUAGUCGAUGGGAAACAGGUUAAUAUUCCUGUACUUGGUGUUACUGCGAAGGGGGGACGGAGAAGGCUAUGUUGGCCGGGCGACGGUUGUCCCGGUUUAAGCGUGUAGGCUGGUUUUCCAGGCAAAUCCGGAAAAUCAAGGCUGAGGCGUGAUGACGAGGCACUACAGUGCUGAAGCAACAAAUGCCCUGCUUCCAGGAAAAGCCUCUAAGCAUCAGGUAACAUCAAAUCGUACCCCAAACCGACACAGGUGGUCAGGUAGAGAAUACCAAGGCGCUUGAGAGAACUCGGGUGAAGGAACUAGGCAAAAUGGUGCCGUAACUUCGGGAGAAGGCA